GACGAACGCUGGCGGCGUGCUUAACACAUGCCAGUCGAACGGAAAGGCCCUGCUUUUGUGGGGUGCUCGAGUGGCGAACGGGUGAGUAACACGUGAGUAACCUGCCCUUGACUUUGGGAUAACUUCAGGAAACUGGGGCUAAUACCGGAUAGGAGCUCCUGCUGCAUGGUGGGGGUUGGAAAGUUUCGGCGGUUGGGGAUGGACUCGCGGCUUAUCAGCUUGUUGGUGGGGUAGUGGCUUACCAAGGCUUUGACGGGUAGCCGGCCUGAGAGGGUGACCGGCCACAUUGGGACUGAGAUACGGCCCAGACGCCUACGGGAGGCAGCAGUGGGGAAUAUUGCACAAUGGGCGGAAGCCUGAUGCAGCAACGCCGCGUGCGGGAUGACGGCCUUCGGGUUGUAAACCGCUUUCGCCUGUGACGAAGAGUGAGUGACGGUAAUGGGUAAAGAAGCACCGGCUAACUACGUG
rnacentral:rRNA from 1 species